rnacentral:rRNA from 1 species
GAUGAACGCUAGCGGCAGGCCUAAUACAUGCAAGUCGAACGGUGUCUUCGGACAUAGUGGCGCACGGGUGCGUAACACGUAUGCAACCUACCUUACAUUGGGGGAUAGCCUUUCGAAAGGGAGAUUAAUACCGCAUAAGACAGUAGCUGGGCAUCCAGCAGCUGUUAAAGAUUUAUCGAUGUAAGCUGGGCAUGCGUCCAAUUAGCUAGUUGGUGAGGUAACGGCUCACCAAGGCAAUGAUUGGUAGGGGAACUGAGAGGUCAAUCCCCCACACGGGCACUGAGAUACGGGCCAGACUCCUGUGGGAGGCAGCAGUAGGGAAUAUUGGGCAAUGGACGCAAGUCUGACCCAGCCAUGCCGCGUGCAGGAUGAAGGCGUUAUGCGUUGUAAACUGCUUUUAUACAGGAAGAAACGACUCUUGCGAGAGGCAUUGACGGUACUGUACGAAUAAGCACCGGCUAACUCCGUGCCAGCCGCCGCAGUAACAC